rnacentral:rRNA from 1 species
AUUGAACGCUGGCGGCAGGCCUAACACAUGCGAGUCGAGCGGAUGAAGGGAGCUUGCUCCUGGAUUCAGCGGCGGCCGGGUGAGUAAUGCCUAGGAAUCUGCCUGGUAGUGGGGGAUAACGUCCGGAAACGGGCGCUAAUACCGCAUACGUCCUGAGGGAGAAAGUGGGGGAUCUUCGGACCUCACGCUAUCAGAUGAGCCUAGGUCGGAUCAGCUAGUUGGUGGGGUAAAGGCCUAGCAAGGCGACGAUCCGUAACUGGUCUGAGAGGAUGAUCAGUCACACUGGAACUGAGACACGGUCCAGACUCCUACGGGGGGCAGCAGUGGGGAAUAUUGGACAAUGGGCGAGAGCCUGAUCCAGCCAUGCCGCGUGUGUGAAGAAGGUCUUCGGAUUGUAGAGCACUUUAAGUUGGGAGGAAGGGCAGUAAGUUAAUACCUUACUGUUUUGACGUUACCAACAGAAUAAGCACCGGCUAACUUCGUG